GACAGAGGUGCCGAGCGUUAGGCGGAAUCACUGGGCUUAAAGCGUGUGUAGGCGGCCCGUUAAGUGUCUUGUGAAAUCCCCCGGCUCAACCGGGGAACUGCUGGGCAUACUGGCGGGCUUGGGUCGCUCAGGGGCAGACGGAACAGGCGGUGGAGCGGUGAAAUGCGUAGAUAUCGCCUGGAACGCCGAAGGUGAAAACAGUCUGCUGGGGGCGCACCGACGCUGAGACACGAAAGCUAGGGGAGCGAACGGG
rnacentral:rRNA from 1 species